AGUGAACGCUGGCGGUAGGCCUAACACAUGCAAGUCGAACGGCAGCACAGGAGAGCUUGCUCUCUGGGUGGCGAGUGGCGGACGGGUGAGGAAUACAUCGGAAUCUACUCUGUCGUGGGGGAUAACGUAGGGAAACUUACGCUAAUACCGCAUACGACCUACGGGUGAAAGCAGGGGAUCUUCGGACCUUGCGCGAGUGAAUGAGCCGAUGUCGGAUUAGCUAGUUGGCGGGGAAAAGGCCCACCAAGGCGACGAUCCGUAGUUGGUCUGAGAGGAUGUUCGGCCACACUGGAACUGAGACACGGUCCAGAUUCCUACGGGAGGCAGCAGUGGGGAAUAUUGGACAAUGGGCGCAAGCCUGAUCCAGCCAUACCGCGUGGGUGAAGAAGGCCUUCGGGUUGUAAAGCCCUUUUGUUGGGAAAGAAAUCCAGCCGGCUAAUACCCGGUUGGGAUGACGGUACCCAAAGAAUAAGCACCGGCUAACUUCGUGCCAGCCGCCGCGGUAA
rnacentral:rRNA from 1 species